rnacentral:rRNA from 1 species
UUCGAACGGAGAGUUUGAUCCUGGCUCAGGAUGAACGCUGGCGGCGUGCUUAACACAUGC